rnacentral:rRNA from 1 species
CCCCUAGAUGUUUUGGGCCGCACGCGCGCUACACUGAACAGUUCAACAAGUCUUAACCUUGGCCGAUAGGUCUGGGUAAUCUUUGAACGCUGUUCGUGAUUGGGAUAGACCUUUGCAAUUAUGGGUCUUCAACGAGGAAUUCCUAGUAAACGCAAGUCAUCAGCUUGCAUUGAUUACGUCCCUGCCCUUUGUACACACCGCCCGUCGCACCUACCGAUUGAAUGGUCCGGUGAAAUCUCGGGACGGCGGCUUGGUCGCUUGCGUCCGACUGCUGAAACUUGAUUAAACCAUAUCAUUUAGAGGAAGGUGAAGUCGUAACA